rnacentral:rRNA from 1 species
GAUGAACGCUGGCGGCGUGCCUAAUACAUGCAAGUCGAGCGAACGGACGAGAAGCUUGCUUCUCUGAUGUUAGCGGCGGACGGGUGAGUAACACGUGGAUAACCUACCUAUAAGACUGGGAUAACUUCGGGAAACCGUAGCUAAUACCGGAUAAUAUUUUGAACCGCAUGGUUCAAAAGUGAAAGACGGUCUUGCUGUCACUUAUAGAUGGAUCCGCGCUGCAUUAGCUAGUUGGUAAGGUAACGGCUUACCAAGGCAACGAUGCAUAGCCGACCUGAGAGGGUGAUCGGCCCCACUGGAACUGAGACACGGUCCAGACUCCUACGGGAGGCAACAGUGGGGAAUCUUCCGCAAUGGGCGAAAGCCUGACGGAGCAACGCCGCGUGAGUGAUGAAGGUCUUCGGAUCGUAAAACUCUGUUAUGAGGGAAGAACAUAUGUGUAAGUAACUGUGCACAUCUUGACGGUACCUAAUCAGAAAGCCACGGCUAACUACGUG